ACGAACGCUGGCGGCAUGCCUAACCCAUGCAAGUCGAACGAGACCUUCGGGUCUAGUGGCGCACGGGUGCGUAACGCGUGGGAACCUGCCCUUAGGUUCGGAAUAACUCCCCGAAAGGGGUGCUAAUACCGGAUAAUGUCUUCGGACCAAAGAUUUAUCGCCUUUGGAUGGGCCCGCGUUGGAUUAGCUAGUUGGUAGGGUAAAAGCCUACCAAGGCGACGAUCCAUAGCUGGUCUGAGAGGAUGAUCAGCCACACUGGGACUGAGACACGGCCCAGACUCCUACGGGAGGCAGCAGUGGGGAAUAUUGGACAAUGGGCGAAAGCCUGAUCCAGCAAUGCCGCGUGAGUGAUGAAGGCCUUAGGGUUGUAAAGCUCUUUUACCCGGGAUGAUAAUGACAGUACCGGGAGAAUAAGCGCCGGCUAACUCCGUG
rnacentral:rRNA from 1 species